CUUCCGCUCGCCGUCGCCCCGGGAGCCCGAACGCUGUGCACGCGCAGGAGCGGGCUUUGGGGGCGGGGGGCAACACAGCCAAUGGGCAACAACACGGCGCCUUUCGGGGACAAAGGAUUCUGACGUGGCUCCCUCUGAGACUGAAGUUGAUCGCUGCCGAUGUCUCCAGUGUCACUCUGCAAACUGAAGCAUCAGCUGCUGAGGCAAGCAACAGUGGUUUGUGUCAUGGAGUUGUCUUCUUCUCCUGGCCCUGGACCCUAUGGAUAUCAAAAAAUGCAAUGAAAUAAAAAAGAAGACAAAGCAAAGCCUAAAAUUGGAAAGAAACGAAUAAACCUGACUCUAUAUCAAAGGACCAGCGACAUAAUUUGUGUGGCCCAGUGCAAAACGAAAAUGUGGGGCUAUUUGUUCAAAAGCCAGGAAUAAAGUGCCAUUAAAGAGCGCAGGGGGUUGCAGGCCGGAUAACAGAAACCCAGCCCUGCCCACUGGGUGAAGCUGCAGCUCUCCCACGCAGAGAUCUGCAAAUCGAGAGCGUGAGAAACCUGCAAGUGGAGAGAGGAGCCAGAAGUAAUGCCUUCGAAAAUGGGACGGAUGCCUCCUCCUGAAAGGGACCUCGAGUUACAGCUCUAGCAGGUCUCCUUGGCUCCUGUGUUCCGGAUGCCAGCAGUCUGCCUCUGCAUCUUGGGCUUUAGAUUCUUUUCUGUUAUAGGUUAUCGCAAGAUAUCGAGUAGAGUUCCCUGUGCUAUAUGGAACAACCCCAGCAAUAUUUAAAACAGAAGAAUAAAGAACUGAGGAUGAAGGGAGUAAAUGCCAUGAAAAAAAAUGAGAAAUGAAAGAAUGACACACCUCUGCCUUUUCUCCUAAGCUUGCUCUGGAGGAAGUGGGCAACCGUGUCAUGAGGACACACAUGCAACCCUGUGGAGAUGACUGUGUACAGAGGAACUAAGGCCUCCCACCAACAGCCAGCACCAGCUUACCUUGGAAGCGGAUGCUCCAGCCUGAGUUGAGCUUUGAGAUGACUGCAGUCCUGGCUGACAUCUUGAGUGCAACCUCAUGAGAAACCCUGAGCUACAACCACCCAGCCAAGCCAUCCCCAGAUUCUUGACCUACAGAAACUGCAAGAUAAUAAAUAUUUAUUGUUGUUUUACAUCACUAAGUCUAGAGUAAUUUUUUUUACACAGAAUUAGAGGCUAAUACACUUUCUUAGUCUGUGAUCAUAAUUGCUAUUGUACUUACUAGUCUGUCAAAUGGGUAUCAGGUCUUCCAGAUCUCUUUAAAGGUGGUGGUUUGUUCUUUUUUUCUAGCUUCAUAUUAAUAGAUAAGAAUAUAGGGAUGCACAGCAAGGACUCUAGAGUCAGGCAGACAUUAAUUUAAGUACUGGUUUGGUCACCUAUGUGACUUUCAUGACGUUACUAAAUCAAACUCAAAUUUAUUAUGAGCAUUAAAGGAGCAAAUGCAUUUCAAGUGCUUAGGGUAGUUUAUGGCUUAUGGUAAGAGCUCAAUAAGUGUGAUAGUUAUUAUGGUUAGUAACUGUAUAAAGAGAUGCUUCUAAGGGCCUUGCCUUAUGGACAACAAAGUAGCUGAAGUAUGUGUUGUACCUUAAGUGGGGAAUUUGGUUUCCAUUAGAAUUAUUAAAUAAAUUUAUUGAGGUAUAAUUUGUAUACUGUAAAUGCACCCAUUUUAAGUGUACAAUUAAUGAUUUUUUAAAUUUACUGAGUUGUGCAGCUAUGACCAUCAUCCGGUUUUAGGAUAUUUUUUCAUCAUCCUAAAAAGAAAUCUUGUGCCCAGUUGCAAUCAGCCCCAGGCAACCACUAAUCUACUUUCUGUCUCUAUAUAUUUGCCUUUUCUGGACAUUUCACCUAAAUAGAACCAUACAUUUUGUGGCCUCUAAUGUCUGGCUUAUUUCUCACAGCAUGUUUCUGAGGUUCUUCUAUGUUGUAGCAAUUAUCAGUACU